rnacentral:lncRNA from 1 species
CGGCUGUCGGCGGCCAGUCCCAAGGCCAGCCCUGCCCUGCCAGCCCCUGGGGGGUCUCCUGGGCCCUCCAGGGCUCUGCCCAGACCGAGCCGCCUCCGGCCCCGGCCCCGGCCCCGGCCCGGGGGAAUUCCCUCCCUAAGGUCUCCCGCUCGCUCGCGUGUACACGCCCAAACACACACUUCCAUCGCCCACGCACCCACGAGAAACCCCCGCGAUCCACGGCGCAGUGGCAGAAGAAGGCAGUCCCCUUGGGCAGGGAUCAUUGGGGUCCUGAUACCCCUAGUACAAAGCAGCCCCCCACACACACACUUUGGAAGCUCAUAGAAUUGGAAGACCCAGUGGUGGCCCCCCAGAAGUCGCUUCUGCUCUCUGGCUCCUUCAGUCAUGCUGGAUCAGAGGAUUCCCCUCCAGAAGAUGGGAGCUGGUGAUGCUGCGGGAUCCAUCACUCUAUCCCAUGCUCCCCUGCAGCUGCAGAUGCUCAACCUAGAAGGCUUUGGGGUUGCCUGGGGGUUCUACAGAGCAGAGCCUCCCUCGGCCAAAUGUGGGGGAUGUGGGGAGAUGUAAUGGGCGGUGGGGAAGGCACUGAGCACCCCGAGGUCACAGGUGUGAACUGUUAAACAUGGGUCCACACUUACCUAAGUGUUUCACCUGGAUCAAGCCUUCUUUUUUUCUCUUUUCAAUGCUUAUCUUGGUUCUGGAAUCAAUACUGUAUAUCUGUGUAUUGUCUCCAAGGCAGAAGAGUAGUGAAGGCUGGGCAAUGGGGGUUCAGUGACUUGCCCAGGGUCACCCAGCUAGGAAGUGUCUGAGGUCAGAUUUGAACCUAGGAUCUCCCAUCUCUAGGCCUGGCUCUCAAUCCACAGAUCCACCCAGCUACCCCCUUGUUUCUCUCUCUCUCUCUCUCUCUCUCUCUCUCUCUCUCUCUCUCUCUCUCUCUCUCUCUCUCUCUCUCUCUCUCUCUCUCUCUCUCUCUCUCUCUCUCUCUCUCUCUCUCUCAAAAAUUUAUUUACUUAUUUAAACCCUUACCUUACAUCUUGGAAUCGAUACUGUGUAUUGGUUCCAAUGCAGAAGAAU